GGGGCCGUGGCGCAGCUGGGAGCGCGCUUGAAUCGCACUCAAGAGGUCGGGGGUUCGAAUCCCCUCGGCUCCACCA
rnacentral:tRNA from 4 species